CGGCAGCACGGGAGCAAUCCUGGUGGCGAGUGGCGAACGGGUGAGUAAUACAUCGGAACGUGUCCUGUAGUGGGGGAUAGCCCGGCGAAAGCCGGAUUAAUACCGCAUACGCUCUACGGAGGAAAGGGGGGGAUCUUAGGGCCUCCCGCUACAGGGGCGGCCGAUGGCAGAUUAGCUAGUUGGUGGGGUAAAGGCCUACCAAGGCGACGAUCUGUAGCUGGUCUGAGAGGACGACCAGCCACACUGGGACUGAGACACGGCCCAGACUCCUACGGGAGGCAGCAGUGGGGAAUUUUGGACAAUGGGCGAAAGCCUGAUCCAGCAAUGCCGCGUGUGUGAAGAAGGCCUUCGGGUUGUAAAGCACUUUUGUCCGGAAAGAAAACGUCGUGGUUAAUACCCGUGGCGGAUGACGGUACCGGAAGAAUAAGCACCGGCUAACUACGUGCCAGCAGCCGCGGUAAUACGUAGGGUGCAAGCGUUAAUCGGAAUUACUGGGCGUAAAGCGUGCGCAGGCGGUUCGCUAAGACAGAUGUGAAAUCCCCGGGCUUAACCUGGGAACUGCAUUUGUGACUGGCGGGCUAGAGUAUGGCAGAGGGGGGUAGAAUUCCACGUGUAGCAGUGAAAUGCGUAGAGAUGUGGAGGAAUACCGAUGGCGAAGGCAGCCCCCUGGGCCAAUACUGACGCUCAUGCACGAAAGCGUG
rnacentral:rRNA from 1 species